rnacentral:rRNA from 1 species
GCGUUAAAGCUUAGCAUAAACAACCCAACCCCCCCCCUUCCAUUAUUAAUCAUGAACCCUCCCCCGCUACUGAACGACCCCAUAAACAUAUGGCACACACAAUGCUAGGACUAGUAACAAGAACACAAAGUUCUCCAAAAUGUAAGUAUAAACCUAAAUAAACCCCCGGCAAUUAACGGAGAUGACCCAACUUCAGUAACCGCAACAAGAAAAUCCUGCACAAACCACCGUUAACCUUACACUAGCACAUUUAUGGAAAGAUUAAUAGAAUAAGAAGGAACUCGGCAAAUCCCAACCCCGCCUGUUUACCAAAAACAUCGCCUCUUGGCCCACAUGAGAGGUCCAGCCUGCCCAGUGACAAAGUUCAACGGCCGCGGUACCCUAACCGUGCAAAGGUAGCAUAAUCACUUGUUCUUUAAAUAAGGACUCGUAUCAACGGCACCACGAGGGUCACACUGUCUCCUUUUUCCAAUCAGUGAAACUGAUCUCCCCGUGAAGAAGCGGGGAUACAACCAUAAGACGAGAAGACCCCAUGGAGCUUUAAACUAAACAGCAACUCAAUUAUAUAUCCCCCCCCACCCACAGAGACAUGCCUGCUAGUUUUAGGUUGGGGCGACCGCGGAGCACAAAACAACCUCCAUGACGAAAAGAACUAAAUCUUAACCCCAGAGCCACCGCUCUAAGAAUCAGCACACUAACGAACAAUGACCCGACUAUCGAUCAACGAACCAAGUUACCCUGGGGAUAACAGCGCAAUCUACUCCAAGAGUCCCUAUCGACAAGUAGGCUUACGACCUCGAUGUUGGAUCAGGGUACCCAAGUGGUGCAGCCGCUACUAACGG